rnacentral:lncRNA from 1 species
AUGCCGCCCUCCUGCGCGCUCGCAGCGCGCCCCCCCCGGAGCUGUUCCGCUGGCUGGCCGAGAGACCUGUUUUUUUCCCCGGAGUCAGGUCGAAGGGCCCCGGCUCCUUCGCUUUGGCGUUGGCGGUGGCGCUGGGCACCUGGCACUCAGAAAAGCCCCGGGGCCCGGCGGGCGGCGCCGGGUGCCGCGGAGCGGAGGCGGCGGCGGGCCCCACCCUCGCCAGGGCCGGGCGUGCGGGCUGGCUGGUGCCGGGGGCGUGGACGCAGGUUCGGGAGGACGCGGCAGCUGGCCCGGGACCUAGGGGCUGCGGCCAUGACCUCGCCAUGGAGAGAGGUGCUCCUGGAGAGCCUCCUGGGUAGCAUCGCCUCCUUCCAGGCUCCAAAUGCCAAACUUCGGCUCAUGAUCCUUGCACUUGGUCUGUCUUCGUCACUGGUGGUGCAUGCUGUGACGUGGUGGACAGGAAGAGGCUUGCAAAGGUACUUCAGAAUCUGGGGAUUCAUUUUAGGACAGAUUCUUCUUCUUGUUCUCCGCAUUUGGUACACGUCACUAAACCCAGUCUGGACUUAUCAGAUGUCCAACAGAGUGAUACUGACAUUAAGUACUAUUGCCACACUUGAUCGUAUUUACACAGAUGGUGCCUGCUAUAAACCUCAGCAGAAGAAGAAUGGUAAGGCAGCCAAGGCAGUGGUUUCUGGUCUGAACUGGUUGUUGGCAGGCGCUGCCUUUGGCAGCCUCAUGUUCCUCACCCACUGGAUUUUUGGAGAGGUGUCUCUUGUCUCCAGAUGGGCAGUGAGUGGACACCCCCAUCCAGGGCCAGAUCCGAACCCAUUUGGAGGUGCAGUUCUGCUGGGCUUGGCAAGUGGAUUGAUGCUCUCGCCUUGUUCAUGGUUUCCGGGUUCCGGUUUAAUCUGGUGGAUUACAGGAGCGACCUCGGCAGCAGGACUCCUUUACCUGCCCACGUGGGCAGCCGCUGUGUCUGGCUGUGUGCUUGCUCUCUUCACGGCAUCCAUGUGGCCUCAAGUGCUUGGACACCUUAUUAGCUCAGGCUCAAGCCCUGGAAAAGCCAUGACCACUGCCAUGAUAUUUUAUAUUCUAGAAGUAUUUUUCUGUGCCUGGUGCACAGCUUUUAAAUUUGUCCCAGGAGGUGUGUAUGCUCGAGAAAGAUCUGAUGUGCUUUUGGGGACUGUGAUGCUAAUUAUUGGGCUGAAUAUGCUAUUGGGUCCGAAGAAAAGCGUUGAUUUUCAUUUUCAAACAAAAAACAGUCCUAAAGCGCUUUUCAGAGAGAGUGAAAAAUACGUGAAACUUUUUUUGUGGCUGCUUGUUGGUGUGGGAUUGUUGGGAUUAGGACUACGGCAUAAAACCUAUGAGAAGAAAUUGGGCAAAGGGGCACCAGCCACAGAGGUCUCUGCUGCCAUCUGGCCUUUCAGGUUUGGCUUUGACAAUGAUGGAUGGUCUAGUCUAGAAAGAUCAGCUCAACUGCUCAAUCAAACAGGUGCAGAUUUCAUAACAAUUUUGGAGAGUGAUGCUUCUAAGCCCUAUAUUGGAAACAACGACUUGACCAUGUGGUUAGGGGAGAAGCUGGGUUUCUACACCGACUUUGGGCCGAGUGCACGGGAUCACACUUGGGGGAUUAUGGCUUUGUCAAGAUACCCAAUUGUGAAAUCGGAGCAUCACCUUCUUCCGUCGCCAGAGGGCGAGAUUGCACCAGCCAUCACGCUGACCGUCAACGUUUCCAACAAAUUGGUGGAUUUUGUUGUGACCCACUUUGGCAAUUACGAAGAUGACCUCGACAGGAAACUUCAAGCUAUUGCUGUUUCAAAACUACUGAAAAAUAGCUCUGAGCAAGUGAUAUUUCUGGGAUAUAUCACAUCAGCACCUGGUUCCAGAGAUUAUCUACAGCUCAUUAAACAUGGCAAUGUGAAGGAUAUUGACAGCACAGAUCAAGACAGAUGGUGUGAAUACAUUAUGUAUCGAGGGCUGAUCAGAUUGGGUUACGCAAGAAUCUCCCACGCUGAACUGAGUGACUCUGAAAUUCAGGUAGCCAAAUUUAGGAUUCCUGAUGACCCAAUUAAUUAUAGAGACAACCAGAAAGUGGUCACAGACCAUAGGGAAGUUCCAGAGAAAAUUCACUUCAAUCCCAGAUUUGGAUCCUACAAAGAGGGGCACAACUUUGAGAACAAUCAUCAUUUUCAUAUGAGUACUCCCAAAUACUUUCUAUAA